GUGCCAGCAGCCGCGGUAAUACGUAGGGGGCAAGCGUUGUUCGGAAUUACUGGGCGUAAAGGGCGCGUAGGCGGUGCGACAAGUCUGGAGUGAAAGCCCGGGGCUCAACCCCGGAAUGUCUUUGGAAACUGUCGAACUUGAGUGCGGAAGAGGCAUCUGGAAUUCCCAGUGUAGCGGUGAAAUGCGUAGAUAUUGGGAAGAACACCUGAGGCGAAGGCGGGAUGCUGGGCCGACACUGACGCUGAGGCGCGAAAGCCAGGGGAGCGAACGGGAUUAGAUACCCCGGUAGUCCUGGCCCUAAACGAUGGAUACUUGGUGUGUGGGGUUCUCGAAGUCCCCGCGUGCCGGAGCUAACGCGGUAAGUAUCCCGCCUGGGGAGUACGGUCGCAAGGCUGAA
rnacentral:rRNA from 1 species